GACGAACGCUGGCGGCGUGCCUAAUACAUGCAAGUCGAACGAACCGCGACUAGGUGCUUGCACUUGGUCAAGGUGAGUGGCGAACGGGUGAGUAGCACGUGGGUAACCUACCUCAUAGUGGGGGAUAACAGUCGGAAACGACUGCUAAUACCGCAUAGGACAUAGGCUCACAUGAUCCAGUGAGGAAAGGUGGCGCAAGCUAUCGCUAAGAGAUGGACCCGCGGUGCAUUAGCUAGUUGGUAGGGUAAAGGCCUACCAAGGCGAUGAUGCAUAGCCGACCUGAGAGGGUGAUCGGCCACAUUGGGACUGAGACACGGCCCAAACUCCUACGGGAGGCAGCAGUAGGGAAUCUUCCGCAAUGGACGCAAGUCUGACGGAGCAACGCCGCGUGAGUGAAGAAGGUCUUCGGAUCGUAAAGCUCUGUUGUUAGAGAAGAACAGCGCAUAGAGUAACUGUUAUGCGUGUGACAGUAUCUAACCAGAAAGCCACGGCUAACUACGUG
rnacentral:rRNA from 1 species